rnacentral:tRNA from 1 species
UUCCUGGUGGCUCAGUGGUAAAGACUCUGCCUGCAAUGCAGGAAACCCAGGUUCAAUCCCUGGGUUGGGAA